rnacentral:rRNA from 1 species
AUGGCGCCCUCCAAAGCUUCGGCGGCGAUGCGUCACGUGCUGGCCGCCAUGGACGAGAGCAACAACAACAUCACCAAGAUGCUCGAGUCUCUCCUCGCCAAGAUGGACGAACAGAAGGCGGUCCACGACAAGCAGAUCGAGAUUCAGGCCGCCUUCAACGCGCAGAUCUCGCAGGACGUGCGUGGACUCGCCCGGCAGAUCGAUCUGACCCAGGCCGACGUCGACGCGACCCGCAAGACAGUGGAGGGCUCUGCAUCGCCAUCGGGAUCGGUCACCACCGUGCUUCACCAGCCCGCCGCUCCGCAACAACCACCACCACCGCCUCCGCCGCCUCCUCACUCGCCGCGAGUGGCCGCCGAACCAGGCCGCCCUGCGUCCGCGCACGCGCGCCUCGGAGACCAUCGCCCUCCGUUGAUUCUAGUCGCACCGCACAGCUGGGUGGCCACCGUGGCGCUGUACAUCGAAGGCCAAGCCGCACACUGGCUGCAAGCAUUUUGUCAAACACAUCGCGACAUCACCUGGGAAGUGUUCACGUCCGCCGUGCUUGAGGAGUUUGGCGCCGACGAGUUUGAGGUGGUCAUGCACAAGCUACUGCAGCUUCGCCAGACUGCCACGGUCGCCGAGUAUCGCGCGGCGUUCGACGAGCAAAUGUACCAUCUGCUUGCGCUGGAUCCAUCCAUCAACACCAAGUUUUUCGUCACCCAGUUCAUCCUGGGCUUGAAGGACGAGCUACGCGCCCCGGUUCGGCUCCAAGCGCCCUCGAGCAUCACCCGAGCAUCGUGUGGCGACCGCUACUCGCGGGAGCACCGGUGCGCCCAACCCGCCCAGCUGCUCACCAUCAGCAUUGGUGAUCACGGCGAGGUGCUCUCCGACGACACCAUCCACGCCUUGCAACUGCUCGACGACCCCAGACCAGCCGCGCAGCCGCCCGCUCCGGCUGGGGACGCUCCCGAAUGCUGCCUCCUCUCGUCGCACGCCCUGGACGGCACGGACUCGGCGACCACGAGCCGCCUGCGUGCGCUGGUUGGCAACCAGGUCAUGUUGCUUCUUCUCGAUUCGGGCAGUUUGCACAACAUCGUCAACAAGUCCUUCGUCGAUCGCCUCGGGCUGGCGACGGAAGAGAUGCCGCGGGUGGACCUGCGCGUUGCCAACGGUGACCGUCUCACCUGCAACCAGAUCGUGCCCGAACUCAAGUGGUGGAUGCAGGGGCACACGUUCGCCACACCGAUGCGCGAGCUGGACAUUGGCGCCUACGACGGCAUCCUGGGCAUGGACUGGCUUGCCCAACACAGUCCCAUGACGUGUCACUGGCAGGACAACGCUCGGUCGUCAAACCGGCCCUGCGCCAAGCUCGCCUUCAAAUUCUUCGGCCCGUACACCGUCCUCGAGAAGAUCGGCCUCAUGGUGUACAAGCUCGACCUGCCGCCCGCGAGUCAGGUGCACCCAGUCUUCCACGUCUCACAGCUCAAGCCAUUCACACCGGACUACACGCCGGUGUACGCAGAGCUGCCGCGCGUGCCGGACCUCUCCGUGUCGUCGGCGGCACCAACGCAGCCGCUGGAACGGCGCAUGAUGAAGCGCGGGAAUGCUGCCAUCGUGCAGGUAAAGGUGCAGUGGGGCGAGGGCUCGCCGGCCGCCACCACAUGGGAAGAUUACGAGGUGCUCCGGCAGCGUUUCCCUUCAGCGGCCAUUUGGGAGGACUCGGGGACAAGUUCACAGGAAGAAGCUCAGUCUUAA